CCUACGGGUGGCAGCAGUGAGGAAUAUUGGUCAAUGGACGCAAGUCUGAACCAGCCAUGCCGCGUGAAGGAAGACGGCUCUAUGAGUUGUAAACUGCUUUUGUACGAGGGUAAACGUAGAUACGCGUAUCUGUUUGAAUGUAUCCUACGAAUAAGGAUCGGCUAACUCCGUGCCAGCAGCCGCGGUAAUACGGAGGAUUCAAGCGUUAUCCGGAUUUAUUGGGUUUAAAGGGUGCGUAGGCGGUCGGGUAAGCUAGAGGUGAAAGCCCGAGGCUCAACUUCGGAACUGCAUUUGAUACUGUAAGGCUAGAGAGUAGUUGCGGUAGGCGGAAUGUAUAGUGUAGCGGUGAAAUGCUUAGAGAUCA
rnacentral:rRNA from 1 species